GUUUACGUGACUAUCUGUUCGGGUGCAAAUGUAUCGAUGUGGUGUCGAUGAGCUGUAAAUGUGCCCGGAGAUGUCAUGUGUUAAUGUUUAGCCAUAAAUAUGUCUGGUAAUGGCCCGUUAACAAACAUAUACAGCGCAUCUCUGUACCCAAUUAUUUUAUCUCAGCUAUGCUUAGUUAUUGCUUUAUAAGUUUGUUACUGUGGAGAAUACAUUAUAUUAAUUAUUAAAAACUUUUGUAGGAAUGUGGCUGCAUCACUCUUGUCUUCACCUGCACCGGCUGCAACACUUUCACCUUCGUUUGAUGCUCGCACGGGGGCGCGCAGCAACGAGAACAAUAAGGAGAAUGUGGCUGCAACACGUUCACCUUCGUCUGAUACUCGCACGAGGGCACGCAGCAACGCGAGCGACAUUCAUCCAGUGAAUGUGGCUGCAACACGUUCACCUUCGUCUGAUACUCGCACGAGGGCACGCAGCAACGCAACUGGGAACAAAAAAGAGUACGU